UCCUCGAUAGUCGAGUGGUGAGGAUAUCGGCUUGUCAUUGUACUAAACGCCGGGGACCGGGGUUCAAUUCCCCGUCGAGGAG
rfam:Colletotrichum gloeosporioides Nara gc5 unplaced genomic scaffold scaffold439, whole genome shotgun sequence.